GCCGCAGCUCCUUGGUAGAGCAUCUGCUUUGCAUGUAGAAGGUCCCAGGUUCAGCCCCUGGUAUCUCCU